CUCACCGUCUGAUAGGUGAGGUGAAGUGUGUGUUCUCACCGUCUGGUAGGUGAAGUGUGUGUUCUCACCAUCUGAUAGGUGAAGUGUGUGUUCUCACCAUCUGAUAGGUGAAGUGUGUGUUCUCACCAUCUGAUAGGUGAAGUGUGUGUUCUCACCAUCUGAUAGGUGAAGUGUGUGUUCUCACCAUCUGGUAGGUGAAGUGAAGUGUGUGUUCUCACCAUCUGGUAGGUGAAGUGUGUGUUCUCACCAUCUGGUAGGUGAAGUGUGUGUUCUCACCAUCUGGUAGGUGAAGUGUGUGUUCUCACCAUCUGGUAGGUGAAGUGUGUGUUCUCACCAUCUGAUAGGUGAAGUGUGUGUUCUCACCAUCUGAUAGGUGAAGUGUGUGUUCUCACCGUCUGGUAGGUGAAGUGUGUGUUCUCACCAUCUGAUAGGUGAAGUGUGUGUUCUCACCAUCUGAUAGGUGAAGUGUGUGUUCUCACCGUCUGAUAGGUGAAGUGUGUGUUCUCACCGUCUGAUAGGUGAAGUGUGUGUUCUCACCGUCUGAUAGGUGAAGUGAAGUGUGUGUUCUCACCGUCUGAUAGGUGAAGUGAAGUGUGUGUUCUCACCGUCUGAUAGGUGAAGUGUGUGUUCUCACCGUCUGGUAGGUGAAGUGUGUGUUCUCACCGUCUGAUAGGUGAAGUGUGUGUUCUCACCGUCUGGUAGGUGAAGUGAAGUGUGUGUUCUCACCGUCUGGUAGGUGAAGUGUGUGUUCUCACCAUCUGGUAGGUGAAGUGUGUGUUCUCACCAUCUGAUAGGUGAAGUGAAGUGUGUGUUCUCACCGUCUGGUAGGUGAAGUGUGUGUUCUCACCAUCUGGUAGGUGAAGUGUGUGUUCUCACCGUCUGGUAGGUGAAGUGUGUGUUCUCACUGUCUGAUAGGUGAGGUGUGUGUUCUCACCGUCUGGUAGGUGAAGUGUGUGUUCUCACCGUCUGGUAGGUGAAGUGUGUGUUCUCACUGUCUGAUAGGUGAAGUGUGUGUUCUCACCAUCUGGUAGGUGAGGUGAAGUGUGUGUUCUCACCGUCUGGUAGGUGAAGUGUGUGUUCUCACCAUCUGAUAGGUGAGGUGAAGUGUGUGUUCUCACCGUCUGAUAGGUGAAGUGAAGUGUGUGUUCUCACCGUCUGGUAGGUGAAGUGUGUGUUCUCACCGUCUGGUAGGUGAGGUGAAGUGUGUGUUCUCACCAUCUGGUAGGUGAAGUGUGUGUUCUCACCAUCUGAUAGGUGAAGUGUGUGUUCUCACCAUCUGGUAGGUGAAGUGUGUGUUCUCACCGUCUGGUAGGUGAAGUGUGUGUUCUCACCGUCUGGUAGGUGAAGUGUGUGUUCUCACCGUCUGGUAGGUGAAGUGUGUGUUCUCACCAUCUGAUAGGUGAAGUGUGUGUUCUCACCGUCUGGUAGGUGAAGUGUGUGUUCUCACCAUCUGAUAGGUGAAGUGUGUGUUCUCACCAUCUGGUAGGUGAAGUGUGUGUUCUCACCGUCUGGUAGGUGAAGUGUGUGUUCUCACCGUCUGGUAGGUGAAGUGUGUGUUCUCACCAUCUGAUAGGUGAAGUGUGUGUUCUCACCGUCUGGUAGGUGAAGUGUGUGUUCUCACCAUCUGAUAGGUGAAGUGAAGUGUGUGUUCUCACCAUCUGGUAGGUGAAGUGUGUGUUCUCACCGUCUGGUAGGUGAAGUGUG